AGUGAACGCUGGCGGUAGGCCUAACACAUGCAAGUCGAACGGCAGCACAGUAAGAGCUUGCUCUUACGGGUGGCGAGUGGCGGACGGGUGAGGAAUACAUCGUAAUCUACUUUUUCGUGGGGGUUAACGUAGGGAAACUUACGCUAAUACCGCAUACGACCUACGGGGGAAAGCAGGGGAUCUUCGCACCUUGCGCGAUUGAAUGAGCGGAUGUCGGAUUAGCUAGUUGGCGGGGUAAAUGCCCACCAAGGCGACGAUCCGUAGCUGGUCUGAGUGGAUGAUCGGCCACAUUGGAACUGAGACACGGUCAAGGCUCCUAAGGGAGGCAGCAGUGGGGAAUAUUGGACAAUGGGCGCAAGCCUGAUCCAGCCAUACCGCGUGGGUGACGAAGGCCUUCGGGUUGUAAAGCCCUUUUGUUGGGAAAGAAAAGCAGCAGGUUAAUACCCCGCUGUUCUGACGGUACCCAAAGAAUAAGCACCGGCUAACUUCGUG
rnacentral:rRNA from 1 species